rnacentral:rRNA from 1 species
GAUUGUAGUCUGCAACCCGACUACAUGAAGCUGGAAUCGCUAGUAAUCGCGAAUCAGAAUGUCGCGGUGAAUACGUUCCCGGGGUCUUGUACACACCGCCCGUCACACCAUGGGAGUUGGAAAUGCCCGAAGCCGGUGACCGAACCUUAGGGACGGAGCCGUCGAAGGUGGAGCCAAUGACUGGGGUGAAGUCGUAACAAGGUAGC